CCCUGGGAAUUAUGACCUGAGCUGAAGGCAGACGCUUAACCAACUGAGCCACCCGGGCGCCCCUCAAAUACUGCCUUUUUUUUCUUUCUCAGGUUUUCCACAUGCCUGGGAAGUCAGUGUGUGAGCAAGAGCUGAGACUGCAGAGCCCAGAGCACUCCUAUGUGGCUGGAAGGAGGACUCCGUGGAUGCCCAGCUGGUGGGGGGCUGUGAGGCCCGAUGGUGGAGAUCCUGCCCGGCAGCUGGUGUGGAGACGUCAUUCUGAAAGCAAAAGGUGCUCACACAGUGUUGCUGAAUUGGAGAGUGAUGAAAUCAAUAUGUGGAUUUUGAUGGAUUUUAUGUGGACUAUUGCAGAUUCAGAGACACCACCAUUUGGAGAAUGUGAAUCUUUUACCCAUCUAUUCAGGACUCCCGAAGACAGAGAUGAGCCUUCUGUUCCCAGUGAUCAUGGGGACCCCAGAUGAAGCCAGCCUCAGGAUAAUAAACCAGGUUUUGCAAAGUAACUCUGAAACCAACUUCGGCAGUGAAGUGAAUCGGCCCAAGGGAUAUUUUUUACCCUGAAAAAACACAAACUCCCCUAAGAACUGAAGAGCUUCUUUUUGCAGAGCUAUCUUAUUGUUCUUUGGGACUGAUGGACUGUCAGUCUUUUCUGCCAGAAACAGAAAUGCUAAUCGGGCCAUCAGCGUGAUGGGAUUGGGGACUCACACUUCCA